rfam:Gorilla gorilla gorilla genomic chromosome, chr14, whole genome shotgun sequence
ACCCUGCCUGUUUACCAAAAACAUCACCUCUAGCAUUACCAGUAUUAGAGGCACUGCCUGCCCAGUGACAUAUGUUCAACGGUGGUGGUAUCCUGACCGUGCAAGGUAGCAUAAUCACUUGUUCCCUAAAUAGGGACUUACAUGAAUAGCCACACAAGGGU